AGUCUAUACGGCUUCGCCGCACGACUAAAAAGGGGACAUUGGUGAUAUCAUUUUCAAUGUUUGUUUACUGAUUUGCAUCGAAUUGGCGUCAGGGGGGGGUGAUGAGAUUUAAGCUCCGCGCGCGGUGACCGGUAGCCGAUGACGCGCAAGUGUUGUGAUAGCAGUGAUCAAAGCUGAUUGACACGGUACCAGAUGUCCGGUUGGUGAUAACAAUGGCUACAAACACUCCUGGUCUUGCUCUGAAAAACUCUGAUCUCUUCGACUUAUGGACACGGACAUCGAAGGAGGAGUGAGUUACAACAAUUGAGGGGAAACUCCGAGAACUAUUCGCAACCCAACGUGUCUCAGACGAAAAUUGGACAAAAUUUUUUAUAUUUUUUAUGGAUUUUUUAAAUUUUUUGUGGAUUUUUUGUUUUUAUCUGUCUUUUUUCUCUUGUCUCUUGUGAAGUUUAAUUUUGCUGUUAAUUUUCGAUGAUAUUUUACUGUGCUGAAUUUUUUAUUUUUUGAAAUGCCUUUUCCUUUUUAUUAAAGACUUGUAAUAUGACCAAAUCCAAGUGUUUGUCCUUUUUCUCAUGCUGAUCCUCGGAAACCUCAUUAUUUUAUUGUGUAUAUUUGAAUUUUUCAGCUUUCAUUUCACGCGGCAUUGAAAUUCGGAAUGAAAGAAAGGAUAGACCUUAGCCUUGUUAGGUCCAGAGUUAAAAAAUAAAAUAUGCAUCGUUAGUAUCUGUAAGUAUACAGUCUAUUUUUGGAGCGAGCUUGCGAGAAUCUAUACAUUUUUUUUUUUUUUUUUCUGUUGUUUUAUGGCUUUGUGUCUAAGCACCUGCAGCCAACUUUAGACUAGUGUGAUAGUGUAGAGAGAAGGUUACAGGUGACUAGUUACCGACUUUAGAGGUGUGAAAAAGAAAAAACUAAAAACAUGGAAAAAGGUGAGAGAUUGAUAAAAAGGAGGAGUUGAGUAGAGAGAGGGUGAGAACCCUUCACCAUUUUCACGCUCUGAUACCCGGCAGAGCGACUUCCUAUGACCAGAGACUGGGUAAUGGAAAACAAACAAAGUGAACAUACGGUAGGGAUUGAAUGUGUUAGAGAGAAUGAUUUGUUUGGACAAAAGGUAGAUUGAAUAAAACAGAGGGUAAGACGGUUGGUGGGAGUGAAAAAUAAAUAUAGGGAAAUUAUUAGUGUAAGAAUGAAGAUUUGGUAGAUUAGAGGUGGAUAUCAUUUUUAUCUAGAAAAAGGGCUAUGGAUUUAAGGGUAUUGAGGUCGCCGACCGAAAGAAGAUAUAGGGUUGAAUAGGGUGGGAAGAUUUCAAAUUUAUUUAUAAGUUCAGAAAAAAGGGUAUUUCUAUUUUUAAGUUUAUCACAUUGGAAAA